AUUGAACGCUGGCGGCAGGCCUAACACAUGCAAGUCGAACGAGUGGCGGACGGGUGAGUAAUGUCUGGGAAACUGCCCGAUGGAGGGGGAUCACUACUGGAAACGGUAGCUAAUACCGCAUACCAUCGGAUGUGCCCAGAUGGGAUUAGCUUGUAGGUGAGGUAACGGCUCACCUAGGCGACGAUCCCUAGCUGGUCUGAGAGCAUGACCAGCGACACUGGAAAGGAGACGCGGGCGCGACUCACACGGGCGGCAGCAGUGGGGAAUAUUGCACCAUGGGAGCAAGCCUGAGGCAGCGAGGCCGAGUAGAUGAAGAAGGCCUUCGUAUUGUAAAGUACUUUCAGCGGGGAGGCAGUAUCCGCAGAAGAAGCCCAGGCUACCUCCGUGCCAGCAGCCGCGGUAAUUC
rnacentral:rRNA from 1 species